rnacentral:rRNA from 1 species
UACGUAGGGUGCAAGCGUUGUCCGGAAUUAUUGGGCGUAAAGAGCUCGUAGGCGGUCUGUCGCGUCUGCUGUGAAAACUCGGGGCUUAACCCCGGGCCUGCAGUGGGUACGGGCAGACUAGAGUGCGGUAGGGGAGACUGGAAUUCCUGGUGUAGCGGUGAAAUGCGCAGAUAUCAGGAGGAACACCGAUUGCGAAGGCAGCUCGCUGGGACGUUACUGACGCUGAGACGCGAAAGCGUGGGGAGCAAACAGG